UCUUAGGGUUUAGAUUUGAAGGUUUAGGGUUUUAGGGUUUAGGGUUCGAAUUUCAGAAAAAUAUAAGGUUUAGGGUUUACGUUUAGGGUUUAGAAUUGAUGUUUUAGGGUUUUGAUUUGAAGGUUUAGGGUUUAGGGUUUAUAGUUGAUGUUUCGGGGUUUAGGGUUUAGAGUUGAUGUUUCGAGCAACACUAAACCCUAAACUAUCAACACUAAACCCUAAAACCUAAAAAGUAAACUCUAAACCCUAAACCCUAAAAAUUAACCCUAAACCCACUCUAAACCCUAAACCUUCAACUCUAAACCCUAAACCCUAAAACCCUAGAGUUGAUGUUUAGGGUUUAGAUUUGAAGGUUUAGGGUUUAGAGUUGAUGUUUCAUGGUUUAGAGUUUAGAGUUGAUGUUUCAUGGUUUAGAGUUUAGAGUUGAUGUUUCGAGGUUUCAUGGUUUAGGGUUUAGAGUUGAUGUUUCGGGGUUUAAGGUUGAUGUUUCAUGGGUUUAGAUUUGAUGUUUUAAGUUUAAAUUAGUUAACCAUAUGUUUUUUUUGUCAAUGGUAAUCAAAAGGUUAUAAAUGUCUUUUACCCUUCAUUAAAGAUGAUGGUAAAAAUGGUUAGUGUAAACAUGAAAAUUAGUACUUUGAAAAUGUUAUUUUUGGCAAUUUCCUAGAGAAAAAUAAAAUGUUUCAUUUAAAUUUGACGAGAAAUGAAUGUAAUUUUUUUUUCAUUUUAUACCACAUUAAUCUGAUUUCAUUCGUUUUAUUCUAUUAAUUUAUGAGAAAAUGACUAGGAUAGCAAUAAAAAAGUUUUUGUCACAAAUAUAGCAUCUAAGAAUUAAAAUGACCAAAAUAGCACUUAAUGUUUUGAAACCCUAAACCCUAAAACCCUAGAGUUGAUGUUUAGGGUUUAGAUUUGAAGAUUUUGGGUUUAGGAUUUACGUUUAGGGUUUAGAGUUGAUGUCUUAGGGUUUAGAUUUGAAGGUUUAGGGUUUUAGGGUUUAGGGUUCGAAUUUCAGAAAAAUAUAAGGUUUAGGGUUUACGUUUAGGGUUUAGAAUUGAUGUUUUAGGGUUUUGAUUUGAAGGUUUAGGGUUUAGGGUUUAUAGUUGAUGUUUCGGGGUUUAGGGUUUAGAGUUGAUGUUUCGAGGUUUCAUGGUUUAGGUUUUAGAGUUGAUGAUUUAGGGUUUAAAGUUGAUGUUUGAAGUUUAGAUUUAGGGUUUAGGGUUUACGUUUAGGGUUUAGAGUUGAUAAUUUAGGGUUUAGAUUUGAAGUUUUAGGGUUUAUGGUUUAGAGUUGAUGUUUCGGGGGUUUAAGGUUUAGAGUUGAUGUUUCAUGGUUUAGGGUUUAGAGUUGAUGUUUCGGGGUUUAAGGUUGAUGUUUCAUGGGUUUAGAUUUGAUGUUUUAAGUUUAAAUUAGUUAACCAUAUGUUUUUUUUGUCAAUGGUAAUCAAAAGGUUAUAAAUGUCUUUUACCCUUCAUUAAAGAUGAUGGUAAAAAUGGUUAGUGUAAACAUGAAAAUUAGUACUUUGAAAAUGUUAUUUUUGGCAAUUUCCUAGAGAAAAAUAAAAUGUUUCAUUUAAAUUUGACGAGAAAUGAA
rnacentral:lncRNA from 1 species